CCUACGGGGGGCUGCAGUGAGGAAUAUUGGUCAAUGGGCGCGAGCCUGAACCAGCCAAGUAGCGUGAAGGAUGACUGCCCUACGGGUUGUAAACUUCUUUUAUAAAGGAAUAAAGUGAGGCACGUGUGCCUUUUUGUAUGUACUUUAUGAUUAAGGAUCGGCUAACUCCGUGCCAGCAGCGGCGGUAAUACGGAGGAUCCGAGCGUUAUCUGGAUUUAUUGGGUUUAAAGGGAGCGUAGAUGGGUUGUUAAGUCAGUUGUGAAAGUUUGCGGCUCAACCGUAAAAAUGCAAUUGAUACUGGCAGCCUUGAGUGCAGUAGAGGGAGGCGGAAUUCGUGGUGUAGCGGUGAAAUGCGUAGAUAUCACGAAGAACUCCGAUUGCGAAGGCAGCUUACUAAACUGCCACUGACAUUGAUGCUCGAAAGUGUGGGUAUCAAACAGGAUUAGAUACCCUAGUAGUC
rnacentral:rRNA from 1 species